AUAUGUUUAACGGCCGCGGUAUCCUGACCGUGCGAAGGUAGCGCAAUCACUUGUCUUUUAAAUGGAGACCUGUAUGAAUGGCAUAACGAGGGCUUAACUGUCUCCUUUUUCAAGUCAAUGAAAUUGAUCUCCCCGUGCAGAAGCGGGGAUAAAAAUAUAAGACGAGAAGACCCUAUGGAGCUUUAGACACCAACGCAGAUCACGCUACUCACCCCGAACAAAGGAUAAAGCCAAACUGACCCCUGCCCUAAUGUCUUUGGUUGGGGCGACCAUGGGGAAACAGAAAACCCCCACGUGGAAUGGGAUAACCCUCCUUAAAUCAAGAGCUACCGCUCUAAAUCAACAGAAAUUCUGACCAGACUAGAUCCGGCCACAGCCGAUCAACGGACCGAGUUACCCUAGGGAUAACAGCGCAAUCCUCUUUCAGAGCCCAUAUCGACAAGGGGGUUUACGACCUCGAUGUUGGAUCAGGACAUCCUAAUGGUGCAGCCGCUAUUAAGGGUUCGUUUGU
rnacentral:rRNA from 1 species